AUGGACCUUAUUGUCUUGUAGACCAUUUGGUGUUUCGAGUGUUUUGGAGCUUGCACUUUGUGCAUGUAGAUACAAACUUGUGUGUUCUGGACCACCUGAAGUCUCUCAUAGUAACCAACAGUCCUUAUCUUUUUGUGACUUGUGUGUUCUAGAUGAUUGUUAAGAUGGUCAAAACUAUGCUUCCUCUAGGUUAAUUUGUUUGUCAACUUGCGUUCAAUGUAUGUGCAUGUUUAUAAACAUAUUUUUAUUGUGGUGUAAUAUGUGUUUA
rnacentral:lncRNA from 1 species